UACGUAGGGGGCAAGCGUUGUCCGGAAUUAUUGGGCGUAAAGAGCGUGUAGGCGGUCCGGUAAGUCGGCUGUGAAAGUCCAGGGCUCAACCCUGGGAUGCCGGUCGAUACUGCCGGACUAGAGUUCGGAAGAGGCGAGUGGAAUUCCCGGUGUAGCGGUGAAAUGCGUAGAUAUCUGGAGGAACACCGGUGGCGAAGGCGGCAUCCUGGACCGACACUGACGCUGAUGAGCGAAAGCCAGGGGAGCAAACGGG
rnacentral:rRNA from 1 species